UACGUAGGGACCGAGCGUUGUCCGGAUUCAUUGGGCGUAAAGAGCUCGUAGGCGGCUGCUCAAGUCGAAUGUGAAAACUCGAGGCUCAACCUCGAGCCUGCAUUCGAUACUGGGCGGCUAGAGUCUGGUAGGGGGAUCUGGAAUUCCUGGUGUAGCGGUGAAAUGCGUAGAUAUCAGGAGGAACACCGGUGGCGAAGGCGGCUAUCUGGACAGAAACUGACGCUGAGGCGCGAAAGCUAGGGGAGCAAACAGG
rnacentral:rRNA from 1 species